UGUUAUGGCGGCUGUGCGUGGGAGACCUUCGGGUCUGCCGGGGGCCGAUAUGCCCGGUCUUGCACACCUGCGCACAGCUGCCACCCGA
rnacentral:antisense_RNA from 1 species